rnacentral:rRNA from 1 species
AUUGAACGCUGGCGGCAUGCCUUACACAUGCAAGUCGAACGGUAACAGGUCUUCGGAUGCUGACGAGUGGCGAACGGGUGAGUAAUACAUCGGAACGUGCCCAGUAGUGGGGGAUAACUACUCGAAAGAGUGGCUAGUACCGCCUGAGAUCUACGGAUGAAAGCAGGGGAUCGCAAGACCUUGAGCUACUAGAGCGGCCGAUGGCAGAUUAGGUAGUUGGUGGGAUAAAAGCUUACCAAGCCGACGAUCUGUAGCCGGUCUGAGAGGACGAUCAGCCACACUGGGACUGAGACACGGCCCAGACUCCUACGGGAGGCAGCAGUGGGGAAUUUUGGACAAUGGGCGAAAGCCUGAUCCAGCAAUGCCGCGUGCAGGAUGAAGGCCUUCGGGUUGUAAACUGCUUUUGUACGGAACGAAAAGCCCCGGGUUAAUACCCUGGGGUCAUGACGGUACCGUAAGAAUAAGCACCGGCUAACUACGUGCCAGCAGCCGCGGUAA